rnacentral:tRNA from 1 species
GAAGUAUAAUGAUCAAGAAAAAGCUGCUAACUUUAACUUUAAUGGUUAAAUUCCAUUAAUACUUUA